ensembl:snoRNA SNORD28 Small nucleolar RNA SNORD28
GUCAGCUGACUGGAAUGAAUAAGCUGAUGCUCUGUGAGGCACAGAAGUUAAUAGCAGCUGGAGUUCUGAUGGCA